AUGUGGGGAGAAGAGGCAGAAGUGAAGCCAGGCACAGGCCUGGGCAGACCGGGGAGGCCAGGAGGUCACCACCCUGCUCCCAGACCCUCACCCCACUUCCGGUCUCCACACAGUGAAGGUUAGCCCUCAUAUCACUCGAUCACUCGAGGCAGAACCCUCUGGUCACAUCACAGAAUGUCCUUAGUGAGUCUCCGAGGCACAGACUUCUGCAUGCCCAGGAAUGUUUUCCUUCACCCUCUCUGGAGGGUGGCUUUGCUGCAGCUGGCACUGUGCUGAUGGUCACUUCUCACCUGACAUUGGGACACCCUUCAUUGACAUCUUAGAGCCAGUGCAGCAGCUCUUGGGCAGCAGCCUUCUCCUCUGCUGCUUUGGAGUCUUGGUGCAUGUAUGCUUGCAUGCGCGUCAGAAGACUGAAGUUCCAUUUGUCAUUUGUCACGGUGUUUGGAGGACUGGUUGAACCACCGGCUUCUGAGGAUUAUCUUGACUCUGUCUUCCACCUUGCCACAGGAGUGCUGGGACCACACUACCAUGUCUAGCUUUACACGGAUCCUGGAGACUCAAACCCAGGCCCCCAUGCUUGCGUGGCAAGCCCUUUACCCACCUUUGGCUAGUUUUAUGUCAAAUUAGUACAAGCUAGGGUUAUGUGAGAGGAGGGAACCUCAGUAAAGAAAAAUGCCUCUGUAAGAGCAGGCUGUAGGCCAGCCUGGAGGGGAUUUUCUCGGUUGCUGAUUGAUAAUGGAGGGCCCAGCCCAUUGUGGACGUUGCCACCCCUGGGCUGGCAGUGCUGUAAGAAAACAGGCUGACAAGUAUCAAGCUAGUAAGCAGUCUUUCCCGUGGCCUUUGUAUCUGCUCCUGCCUCUAGGUUCCUAGUCUGCUUGAGUUCC
rnacentral:lncRNA from 1 species